UGCAACUUGCUGUCCUUCCCUGAGCUAAACGCCUGUGGAACGCUACUGCCAGCCCCGCUGCAGUCGCUCCAGGGAACGGUGCCUGAGGGUUCCUGGCUGUUCAGGUCCAGUAACUCCUCUCCACUUCUGAAUAGUCUCUCCCUCCCCCUGCCGCUGAGUCCAUUUUCUAACUUUACCUUUGAUGUUCAGGGCUCCUAGCUUGUCAUAAAUAUAAUCGCUUCACUUGUUUUUUCUGGUCUUUUUUGUAAGAGGGAUCACUGGUGGCAUCUCAAUACUCAAAACUUCAUCAUUUCUUCCUUUCACUUUAGCUACUCGACAUUCAAGAGCAACGUUCAGAGUCUCUUCCGACAUCCGUUUUGGUCUUUUCUUUCUUUCCUGUCUUUUAAAGGAUCUCUUGCUUCAUGUGUGAUGUCCUUGAUGUCAUUCCACAACUCGUCUGGUCUUGAGUCGUUAGUGUUCAACACGUAAAAUGUAUUCUUGAGGUGGUCUCUAAAUACAGGUGAGAUAUACUCAAGGUCAUACUUUGGCCCCUUUUGACUUAUUCUAAUUUUCUUCAGUUUCAACUUGAACUCCCAUAUGAGCAAUUGACAGUCUGUUUCACAAUCGAUCCCUGGCCUUGUUCUGACUGAUGAUAUGAGUUUUCCCAUGUUCUCUUUCCACAGAUGUAGUCAGUUUGAUUCCUGUGUAUUCCAUCUGGUAAAGUCCACGUGUAUAGCUGCCGUUUAUGUUGGUGAAAAAAAAUAUUUGCAGUGGAUGAGUCACUGGUCUUGCAAAAUUCUUUCAUGAGAUUUCUGGCAUCAUUUAUUUCAGCAAUGCUGUAUUUUCCAACUACUUUUCCUUCUUUGUUUCCAACUUUAACAUUCUAAUGACCAGUAAUUAUCAAUGCAUCUUCAUUGCAUGGUGGAUCAAUUUCAGGCUGCAGAAGUUGUUUAAAAUCUUCAAUUUCUUUAUCUUUGGCAUUAGUGGUUGGUGCAUAAAUUUGAAUAGUCAUAUAAACUAGUCUUCCUUGUAAGUGUAUGGAUUUUAGCCUAUCAGUGACAACAUUGUACUUCAGGCUAGAUCUUGAAAUGUUCUCUUUGAUGAUAUGUAACGUCAUUCUUUUGACUCUGGUGGAAUAUCCAUGUUUGUAAGACUGCUCACAGCCUGUUUCACCAGAGAGUUUUCUGGUACUGCAACAUCUACCACUAAUCUCUGUGAUCUCUGUGAAUUGGCAAAAUAAGAAUAGUGCUAUAGAUUUCUUCCAAAUACAGAAAACAUAAUCAUGAAAAUGUUCUUGCUGUUGAUUAUAUUCUUUACCAAUCUGUUCGUAUGGGAUUUUUGGUACUUCACUUGAAAAAUGAGUCCAAGGUACCGUGAUGUGAUUGUUUACUUUGUGUGGCCUUUCUAGCCAUGGUCUUAUAACAUCCACCCUGGUGCUUGGGCAGGACUGUGUGAUAGGGUAAUUGUGGCUCACCAAGGGGAUUGUUUAUUUUUCCUUCAAAGAGAACCAGUUCCAGAGCAAAGAGGAGGAUUCAACUCCCAUCAAGGAAGAACAGCCAAGAGCCGAGCGUAUAUUAUGGACCUGAGAUCCCUGCACUGAGAAGCUCCUAGAAGCAGGAGACUGAGAUAGAGAGAGGAAGCUGUAACCCUGAAGAUGCUUAAAUACAGACCAGAAGAGGAGUUUGGGGCUUGACACCUGACAUCUUAACACCAGUUCCUGUUUCUUGAGGAAGGAAGAGGUAAAAUAAAUCAGCGUUUACUGUUUCCUUCUCCAUCCCCGGAAGUCCUGAUGAAGACCCUCUCAGCUUCAACUUGAACGUGAAUAUGAGCAACUGAUCAUCUGUUCUGCAGUCAGCCCCUGGCCUGAUUCUGACUCAUGAUAUUGACCUUCUCCAUCAUCACCUUCCACAAAUUUGUUUUCUGUCUAUUCUGCCUGGAGUGGUUCACGAGUAUAGUCACCGUUUAUGUUCCUGACGAAAGAGAACCAGUUCCAGAGCAAAGAGGAGGAUUCAACUCCCAUCAAGGAAGAACAGCCAGGAGCUGAGCAUAUAUUAUGGACCUGAGAUCCCUGCACUGAGAAGCUCCUAGAAGCAGGAGACUGAGAUAGAGAGAGGAAGCUGUAACCCUGAAGACGGUAAGAUGCCAUGGCAGGAGAGACCAAGCAACAGGGACCCGGGUAUAGGAGAUGCUGGCCCAUGGAGAAGGAAAGCUGAGUGCCUUUGGAGAGAGGCCCAAGGCCAGGCAGCGUCACACCUAUGAGCACAGGAGGGAAGAAGCUGUCCUGAUAGAAGAACUGUAUUCUGAAUGUCUUUGAGCCUGAGUUAUAAAUGUUACUUCCCUAAUAAACCCCAUAAUCAUGAAUAUGGACUAUGAGCUCUGUGUGGCCAUUGCAAUGAAUUACUGAACCCAGCAGAGAAGUAGGGAGUGCUGUGUGAGGGACAGUUGGUGUCAGAGUUAGUGAAGAUGGUGGAGAGAGGAUAGUUUUUCACCAAUGCCUUCAAUGCAGCUUCGAUUUCUUCCUUUUAUACCAUCAGUUCUUGAUCUUAUGCUACCUCUUGAAGUGGUUGAAAAUUAUCCAGUUCUACUGCAGUAGCUAUAUUAAUAUCAGACAAAUUAUACUUCAGAAAAAGGAGUAUUAUUGGGAAUAAGUAGGGACAUAACAUAAUAAAAGUUCAAUUCUCCAAAAAGAUACAACAAUCCUAAAUGUGUAUGUAUUUAACAACAGGGCUCCAAAAUACAAAAACUAAUAAAUCUGAAAGGGGAAAUGGACAAAUACACAUUUAUAAUCGAUAUCAGUACUUUUCUAUCAAUAAUUAAUAGAGCCCUGCUAGUUGAAGUCCAAAGCAUCUGUAUGAACCACUCAUGGAUGUCUAUGUGUGUGUGUAUGUGUAUAUGUAUGUAUAUAGUAUAAAGACAAGUAAUACAGAAAUAAACAUAGAUAUAUGUUGUAGUCCUUGGGAGGUACAAACGGUUGAUGCAUUCAGCUGCUAUCAAAAUGUUGGAGGUUUGAGUUCACCCAGAGGCACUUUGGAAGAAAGGCUUGGUGAUGUACUUUUGAAAAAUUAGCCAUUGAACUGACACAGUUGUGUGUCACUACUACUAUGACACACAUGGGGGAGGGGUCACCCUGAGUCAGAUCAGCUUGAUAGCAAUUGUAUGAUUUUUUUAUUCAUUCUUUCAAUGUUUGCCUUUUAAUUGGUAUCUUAGGCUGAGUUCUCUAGAGAAGCAAAACCAGUGAGGUAUAUAUAUAUAUGUAUUUAUAUAUAAAUAGAUUUAUAACAAGGAAAUGGCUCACGAGGCUGUAGAGGCUGGUAAGUCUCAAGUCCAUGGGUCAGGGUGGUGGCUUCUCCUGACUCACAUAGAUGCAGGGACUGCAGAACUCAAGAUCUGCAGGUCAUACAACAGGUCUGUGGCUCACAGGCUGCAAAGGGUGACAAAUCUCAAGAUCGGCAGAUAAGCUGGCAGCCCGCGACUCACAGACUGCGGAGGCUGAUGAAUCCCAAAAUUGGAAGGUAAGCUGAGAGUUCAAGUCCCAAAAACUUGAGAUCAGAUGAAGAGGAGCCAGCUGCAGGAUUCAGAGUGAGCAAAAGCUCAAGAGCCUUGCCAGAAAGUCCACCUAUAUUGGAUGCAGUCCACACCCCCGAGGAAACUCCCUUACAUUUGAUUGGCUACUCACAGCAGAUCCCAUCAUGGAGGUAAUCACAUUAUGUCACAUCUCAUCAUGGAAGUGAUUGCAUCGUUAUACGACUGCUAAACUACAUCAUAACUGCCAAAGCACUGAGAAUCAUGGUCCAACAAAGUUGACACACAACUUUAAUGAUCCCAAUUGUGAAUUUAAUCUAUUUAUAUUUAAAGCGAUUAAUGAUAAGGAAGGACUUAUAUCUUCUACUUUGUAGUAGGUCGUAUACGUAUUUUGUUUCUCAUUUUUUUCACUACUGUCCACUUUUGUGUUUGACUGAUUUUUUUCAAGUGUACAAUUUUGAUUCUCUCCUUAUUUCCUUUCCUUAUAUUUUUUAACUUCUUAGUGGUGACCAUGAGGAUUACAAUUAAUGUCUUAUAUUUAUAACAAUCUUCUUUUAAUUAAUACAAAUUUAGCUUCAACAGUAUACAACAUUCUGCUUUUAUUUAGCUCAGUUACCUCCCCUACUUACUUUGCUGUUACACAAAUUGCAUCUUUAUACAUUGUGUGUCCAUUAAGAGAGAAGUGUAAGUAUUUUUAUGCAUUCGUGCUUUAAAUCAUAUAUGAAAAAAAGAGAGGCAUGAUAUAAAAAUAUUACUGACUUUGUUUUAUCUAAGUAGUUACCUUUACGGAGUCUUUGUUUGUUUUUAUGGCUUCAAGUUACUGUCUAGUGUCCUUUCAUGGCAGCCAGAAUGAUUCCCUGUAGCAUUUCUCAUAAGGCAGUUCUGCUACUAACACACUCCCUCAGGUUUUGUGUAUCUGGGCAUGUCUUAAUUUCGCCUUCAUUUUUGAAAGAUAGUUUUGGUAGAUAUUGAAAUCUUGGUUCAUAGUUUUGUUUCUGUAUUUUUUUCCAGUACCUUAAAUACGUCAUCCCACUAUUUUCUUGUCUCAAUGGUUUCUGAUGAAAAAUCAACAGUUAAACUUGUUGAGACUCUCUUGUACAUUAGGGGUCACUUAUCUCUUGCUACUUUCAAGUUUCUGUCUUCGUCUUUUGACAUUUUGAUUAUGUCUGUCUGUGGAUGUCUAUGUGUUUACUGUCCUUUGAGUUUAUUGAGCUUCUUGGAUAUCUAGAUGACAUUUGGGAAACUUCCAGUCAUUACGUUUUUAAAUAUUCUUUCUGUCCUUUCAUCUUUCUUUC